UGAACGCUGGCGGCAGGCCUCCCACAUGCAAGUCGAACGGUAACAGGCAGCAGCUUGCUGCUUUGCUGACGAGUGGCGGACGGGUGAGUAAUGUCUGGGAAACUGCCCGAUGGAGGGGGAUAACUACUGGAAACGGUAGCUAAUACCGCAUAACGUCGCAAGACCAAAGAGGGGGACCUUAGGGCCUCUUGCCAUCGGAUGUGCCCAGAUGGGAUUAGCUAGUAGGUGGGGUAACGGCUCACCUAGGCGACGAUCCCUAGCUGGUCUGAGAGGAUGACCAGCCACACUGGAACUGAGACACGGUCCAGACUCCUACGGGAGGCAGCAGUGGGGAAUAUUGCACAAUGGGCGCAAGCCUGAUGCAGCCAUGCCGCGUGUAUGAAGAAGGCCUUCGGGUUGUAAAGUACUUUCAGCGGGGAGGAAGGGAGUAAAGUUAAUACCUUUGCUCAUUGACGUUACCCGCAGAAGAAGCACCGGCUAACUCCGUG
rnacentral:rRNA from 1 species